rnacentral:sRNA from 1 species
UUGUUUAAGUGUUUUAGUAAAAAGACUUCUGAAAAUUUUCAGGCCACACUCGACCGUACCACUCGGCUACAAACCGAGUGUAGGCUUCAAUUGAUCAAAGGCCCAAGACUGAACCAUACUCGACCCAAAAAACUCGGCCCAUGGUCGAGUAUGGGCCUCACUGUUAAAAGGCCCAAGAAGAUGCACCACUCGGCCUGAAGCCGAGUAAGAAGAAGCCCAUCAGGCCCAACACUGUACUCGACACGCGCGUCGAGUAUGUCGGCCGAGUUUACACGUGCGAGGUCAAGACAAUUCAUAUUUAAAUUUGAAUUCGAAUUCACUUGGCCCCACACAUCAAAUCCUGCUCCCCAAAGCCCAUCAGAGAUUCUUCUGCAAAUAGUGAAAGCAUGUGCCCUUGACCAAAUGAAGGGUGAAGAUUUAAGGUGUUUGAAGGGCUAGGAUUCAAUAUUCUUGUCUAUAAAACCACACUCAACAAGCUAAGUCACUUACACUCUCUCUUUGCUCAAUAAUUUCGAAUUUUACUUCUUCUCUCCAAACAUUUCAAGAUUUUACUCUCACUUCUCUCUAUAAUUCGCAGAAUUGAACCAUAA